GUAAAAUCAAGCAUACCUUAUUUUCAAACAUGUUGUAUAUUGUAUUGUUUAGAUUUCCCUUCCAAAGCCAUUCUGAAUUAUUUUCUGCAAUUUUAACUUUUUGAAGAAUUGGUGUACUUGUGUUUCCCUCUGAAAAAAUCUUCAUUUGAGGACAUUCCCUCACAAUUACUUCCUCCAAUAAUGGAAACUUCAUGAAACACUUACUAGAGGAAAACUUGAUGAGACUUGGCAAACAUUCCAAAUUCAAAAUUUGUAAACUAAUAAAAGCAAUGUCAACAUUUUCUACUCCAUUAACUACUUCUUCAAGUGAAUUACAAUCUUUUAUCUUCAGCACAGUGAGCUUGUCUAAACUUUGUGCAGUAGGAGUUGUGAUCAAAUAUUUUAGCCCAUUGCAUUUUAUUACCUCUAACUUUGUGAGAUGAUUAAGGGUGGCGGAGGAAGGCAUCAAAUUUGUCAAACUAGAACAACUACGAACCCUUAAGUAUUCAAGGAACUCAAGAACUGGGUCAAUUUGAGAUCCUUCAUCACAUAUAUGUUGAAGUUUAGGUAAUUUAUAUAACAUUAGUGUUUUGAUUUGUGUAUGAGUCCUCUCACUUAUUUCUCCUUUAUCUUGGAAUAUCUUCUUGAAGCAACACCACUCAACACGUAGUUUCUCAAGAGUAUGCACAUUUUCAAGAAACCAAUAAGGAAAUCUAGCAUCUUCGGUGUUAUAGCUAGCCAAUCCAAGAUGGGUCAUUUUGCAAAAGAGGGAACUUGAGUUUUGGGUUUGCAAUAUCAUGUCAGCAUCCGCCUGUACCAUCCUCAACAGCUCCAAGUUUGGAAUCACCUAAAACAUAUUUAAACAACAAUGUAAGAGAAUUAAACAUUUUAUUAUUGAGUGAAACAAUAAUUACUAUUGACUAAAAUUUGUCCUUUUAAUUUUUGCCAAUAUCUCUGUACUUUUUUCAAUUUCUUUUAUACUCAAAUAUAUCAAUUUAUGGAAAUUAUCAAUUUUG
rnacentral:lncRNA from 1 species